CAGAGUGACAGUGUUGGUGUUAAAGUGGGUUGUGACCAGGGUAGUGAGGUAUUUCCAUGAGGGAGCACCACUCUUCCAGCAGAAGGCUGGUUACCCGACUUAAAACACAGCAUCUCUCUCAGCAUAAAUUUGCUAAUACUGCCAGUGUCACUGGGUGAAUUAUAAACACAGAUUAUGGAAUUUGAAGAGUAGACUUUUUACUUGCUUUGCGGUUAAGGUUUAUGCAUUUGGAGAGUGAAUUGGUUAUGACAGUUGCAGGUUCACAAUGGUAUUAAAUGAUUGUAAAAGUUUCCUUUUCAUGGGCCACCCCUGUCUUCUUGGAAGAUGGCCAUUAUAUUCAAGAUAAUGGACACUAAUCAUUGAUUUUUUUUUAUAACUUGGUGUAAUGGUAUUUUUGUAAUGUUCUUUGUCCUUGCUAGUGAUGUUUCAUUUUUAUUGCUUAAUUUUACCUUGGAUGAUGGUUAUGUAUGAGAGAGAUACCAGGUAAAAGCUCUCUUCAAUUCUGAGCACCCCUCUACCCUAUUCCUCUACCAACUUAUUCCUGUCUCAAAAAAUUUUGAAUAUUCUUGCCAAAAUUAGUAACGAUAUCUUUGAUUUGGUAGACAUGAUGUUUCCAAACACUUUGACUAUGCAGAUAUAUAAAAUAAGUAGAACUGUCAGUCUAAUGGGACCAGUUCGUAAUAUUUGAUUUUGUUAACCUAUCUGAAAGUUUGACGUGGUUGUAUCUCAAGACUUGGAAAUGUCUUUAUUUUUAUAUUCUUAAGGGUUUAUUGCAAGUCAUUUUCUUGAAUAACAUUAUUACUUCUGGCCAUUAGUGUGGAUGAUGAACCAGUUGAAGUAGAGGUUGAAGAGGCUCCUGUUAUUGAAGAAGAGAGACCCAAAGAGGAUAAGGUGCCAGCCAAGACUGCUGCUGUCACAAGUCGUGUUCAGAGGUCUACUAGAGCAAGAGGACGAGGACGUCCAUCUAAAAAUUAAACCAUCUCACUGAACACAUUACUUAGUAUACAGGUGUUAUCCAGGAACUGAUGAGAGGAAUAUGUAAUUGACCGGCAAGUUUGUGCUUGGCUACCAGUGCAGAACACAAGCUCGCUGAAUUGAAGACUUUUAUAAGGUGAAUGUUUAUAUCACAACAGCAGCAAUGUUUUCAUACAUUAUACUUCAUCCCCCAUGUGCUUGUUAAGCUAAAUUCAGUAUCUUGACUUGUUCAGCAAGGAUUUCUCUUUGCCAAACAAAUUCAGCAUGUAUUAAUUUUUAUUGUACUGCAGCUCCAGGGAAAUCAGUCUUCAUAUAAAAAAAUCGUUGAUAUUCAGUAAUACUAAAUGUAGCUGCUCUUAGAUACAUUUGAUAGAAACAAACUAUAUUAUGUGCAAACUAAAAUAGGUAUUAGAUACAGAAUUAACAAAACAGUGUCCCAGACUGAAGGAGGGGUGGGAAUGUUGCCGUCAAAGUCAUCUGAAUUUUAAUGUCGGCACACUUCUAGCAAAAACAGCGAUUGAAUGAAUGGAGGUGAAUGUGUUGACUUUUAGCAUGCAUAAGCACAGACUGACAAACAGACACAAAGGCAACUUGAAGUUAGACAUAGAUGAGCCACGGGGAUGUCAGGAAGUAUUUCUUAAGUCUCAAGGUGGUCAGGAAGUGGUGGAGACACUCCAUACAUAGUUUUAAGAGCAGGUACAGUAGGGUACAUGAGGCUAGGAGAGAAUGAAUCUGGCAAAUGGCAAGUUGAGAUUUGGCCAGGAGGUAAGACUGAGCCGCUGCAACUACAUAUAGAUAAGUACAUAUAGGUUACAAACAUGCACACACACACACUAUUUUGCUUAAUAAUGUUGUGUUACCUCUUGAGAGAUCCUGCUAUAACAGUGAAGGCCAGUAGAAAUAUGGGACAUACAUGAGUUUUGGAAUUUAGCUAUGUUUGUAUUUAAUUAGUAAGUGCAUGAACUGAUGGUCUAGUUCAUGUGAAGAAAGUAAUUUUGAAGUGUUUCUAUACUUUCUAAGGGACACAAUUUGAAAUAGUUUAUAAAAUCAUUAUUUUUGAAAUGUUUUCCUAACCUUCAGCUUAUUGUGAAUUAAAAGCAUAUUAUGCAGAUUGUGUACUCCAGUGUAGAAGUGUUGAGUAACUGUUAUAGUAUUUGUGUACCUUAAUUAAAGCAGUAGGUUUACUAGUGAUGCAUAACUCUUUACUUAAAUUUAUAUAAUGGUAAA